rnacentral:lncRNA from 1 species
UUUUCAAGCCUAGGGUUUAUAUCUUCCUCUCCUGAACAGCUGAUCCAUUAAGAGAACCCUACAAAAUAGUUAAUUAAUCAUACCUCCACUCGUUAAUCCCCCAUAAAAGGAUUACUUCAUCAUGGAUCUCAUAAACAUGAUAAACUUGAUAUAGAAAAUAGACAUGAAUAACAAAUCAAGAGAAUAAAGUUUAGGAGAAGCCUGAAUCAUAUUGAAG